CGGCCCAAGGCCCAACAAGCAGCCGCCGCCUAACCCUAACCUAGCCGCGCGCGCCUCCUUCCUCUGGCCGCCGCCACCUGCUUCUCCCACCCGGCCUCUCUCUCUCAUCCCUUCUCUUCCCUCUCUCUUCUCUCUACCACGACCGCGCCAAGGAUCAAGCGCACGCGACGCCCGACGCCCGACGCCCCGACUGCCUCGACCCGCCAGCGCCCAGGAAGACCCGACGCCGCCAACGCCCAGGAAGACUCGACCGAACCCUAACUUCUUGCCGCCGCCACCUCCUCUUACUCGCAUGCCACCGUCGCUCCCCUGGGCGCAAACCCGCUGUCGCUCAGCCCGGCGCACGGGAUCGGGCGGUCCGGGGACGCCGGCAGUACACACCCGUCGUCGGUUUCCGCAGGUGGCGCGCCCUGAUGUCACGCGGCAUGUGCCCGAUCCGCUGUCGCUGUCGCUGUAACUGUUUCCAAGAUUUUGCUCUGCGAGCUUGCUGGAUCCUCUGACCGCUUCCGCGGGACGUGUUCCCGAAUUUCCAUUUUUUAUUUUUCUUUACUACCUUUUUCUGUUUACUCCAUUUUUUCUCUUAAAAAAAUAAGAGCUCUACUAUUUAAACAAGCGGGGCGUACAAAUCGAGCACUGAACCUUGUGAGCCCAGGUUCAUUUCUUACGAGACUAAAUAUGCACUGAACCUUGUGUGCCUUGUAGUAUCUGUAGUAUCUCUCUUUUAAAGAUCAAUAGGAUUCCAAGAUCGACUAUAGUAGCACCAGGCCUCCACUGGCCUAAUCAGUCUCUGACUUAGCUUAUAUUUUACCUCACAUUUCAUUGCAUGUCUCUACACCCUAAGGUCCUAACCACUAGUUUUUUCCACUUGCAGGUAUGUUCCAAUGUUUGUGGAGAUAGAGUACGAUCCGAACUGCUAGUACACAUCUGUUCUAAUUGAAGAGCAACUGGAGGCUCUUGGAAGAGCAAUAGUUGCUGGCAAGACAGGCAAUUGAAAAUGAGAAUUGAUCUUUUUUAUGGGCGAAGUGUUGAAGAUGGCUUUGGUGAAGGAAAUGUCUUGUUAGCAUCAAGUAAGUGGCGACAUCACAACCCCUACAAGCUUGUGCCUUAAAACAAGAGGAUACAAGAAGUUGGAGUGCUUUUGUGAAGACUUUUGCGAAUCACUUGAAGCGUUAGUAUUUUUGUGAAUGAUUUUGUAAAGUGUUUGCAAAUAUGUGCAAAACAUAAUAACAUGUGUAGGUUUUGUGAA